rnacentral:lncRNA from 1 species
CUCCGGCGGGUCGCGCGCGCGGGCUGGGGGCCGAUCCCGGUCCCCGCAGGCGAGGCAGCCCGCUUCGCAGCCGCUCCUUGGCGCCCUAAAACAAGUAGCCCCAACGUGAGAGAAACAAAAGUUGCUCUAGGAGAAGCCAGCUGCCUGAAGAUACUCAGGCAGCCAUGUGGAGAUGAAUUGUGGCUUUCUGCCAACAGCCAUAUGAGUGAGCCAUCUUGGAAUCAUCCUCCAGCCCCAGACAAGCCUUCAGCUGACUGUCGCCCCAGCUAACAGCUUGACUGAAACCUCACGAGAAACUCUGAGCCAGAACCAAUCAGCUAAGCUGCUCCCUGAUUCCCGACCCUCAGAAACCUUGUGAAUCCUUAGGUCUUCAGAUCAAGAGGAAUUGUACUCAAGGAGCUGUACAGAAGAAACUAUACCCUUGGGAGUUAUUGUGAGAUGUGGAUUAUAGUGGUCAGAGACUGAAUGAUAGGAAAUUUUAAACCAAA